UCGGCGCUGGGGCGGCGGGUCCGGGCCGCCACGGCCUCGGGCGCCGUGCCGAGCAUCAUCGCGACGAUCUCGUGCGUCGAGGCCGUGC
rnacentral:tRNA from 1 species